UCCACGCGCGCGCGCGCGCACCCGGGCACAGGCACGCGCACCGGCAGCCCAGGCCUGCCCCGCCCCCCACCCGGGGAGAUGCAGCAGGACCGCAGGAGGGGAGAAGCAGCGGGCGCAGGGGGCGCAGAGGGAGGGGAGGACCAGGCCAAGGAGAACGAAGGAGAGGGUGAGAAGCAAGGGCGAAGGGGAUCACAGCUUCGCUGCUGCAAAGUUGAGCAAAAAUCUCACCAUUCGAUUCCAGCUAAAAAUACGUUUUAAAAAACUAGCCAGCUUUUCAGAGGGUCACGUGGUGCCUUGGAGUCUUACGUAACAGGAGAACUGAAGGGGGUUUCUAAUGAGCAAAAGGCAUCUGGAAACAAGUCCCCUCGUACUUAGGGAGGGGUGGCUGAGAGAGCCUGAUGGAGCCUUCGGUCCCAGGAACUUAGAAGAACGCCUUUUUAAAUGGACCCGAAGCCCAUGUCAUUCCUCCUUAAAGAGAAUGUGAAGGGAGGGCCGAAAGGUUUAGCCGCAGUCUGGAAGCGGAGAGCCUGAAAAAGGCCUGGUCUUGGCCCUCAGGAAAGCAGCGGGAAGUUGUGCCCAGAGGCCCGAGAGGCGCGCGGGGACGCAAGGGGACAUGUGGGAACAAGGGGAGUGUGGGGGGACGGGCGUGGCGUCCUGUGCGGCAGGGAGGUGGGCAGGCUCCGGUUGUGGUGCCCCCGGCGUUCCUGAGCACUUCCUGUGCGCGCGCGGACAAAGAGAGAUGAACGAGUCAAUCUCCGUCUUCCGGGAGGCCCUCAGGACCCUGGGGGAGGUGGCGGGGUCCACGGUGAGCCCAGCCAUCAUCUCUUGAACAGAGUAUGUGUACCUAACCCUGUGAAGCACUCUUCCCCGUCACCAGCCAGUCACCAGUCACUCUUUCAGGCUCCCAUCCUUGUUGUGACAACGAAAACCCAGGCCUGGGAGCAUCAGGAGUCUUUCUGGACCACCCUCCAAGGACAGGCAAUCCCAACCGUGGGAUUCUUCACCUCCCGGGAGACCGCCUGGUUUCUGGUGGCUUUGCCUGACUCCUUCCUGCUUCAGAGCAGCAGGUUCCGGCGAACGCGUUAAAACACAGCCCAGAAAUCCUGAAGGGCCCACCCUCGGCUUCACAGCAUCGAACGUAUAGGUUCUGCCAAAGGCACAGAAGAGAAAUAGCUUGUGAGGGACAGAGAUUCUCUGGUGUCAAGUCUUAUCAAACGCUUCCUAGAUCCAGGUGGAGUGAGAGCUGUGAAUUCUUAAACCCAGCCGCGGGCUCCAGUGGGCCAGUGGCUGGCUCGCUUUGCUCCCUCCAGGACAAGCAAGGGAGCGUUCUGGAAUGGAAGAGUGUGUUGGCCUAGAAUCUGCAGGGAGGAAGCUACCU